rfam:Streptomyces nodosus strain ATCC 14899 genome.
CACCGAGUCCGAGGCCCCGGUGGUCACCGGAGCCUGGUGCACAAGGGA